ACGGUUAUAAAUCAACAUAUUGAUUUAUAAGCAUGGAAAUCCCCUGAGUGAAACAACGAAUUGCUGUGUGUAGUCUUUGCCCAUCUCCCACGAUAGGCUUUUUUUUAA
rnacentral:other from 1 species